CACACUCUUCCAUGGACUCUGUAUCAGCUCCUGCCUCCAGGUUCCUGCCCUGUUUGAAUUCCUGUCUUGAUUUCCUUCAAUGAUGAACAGUGAUCUGGAAUCGUAAACCAAACAGACCCUUUCCUUCUCAAGUUAACUUUGUUGAUAUCGGUCAGCUGGAGCUGAGAAAUUAUCGAUGAUUAAGAAGAGACCAGCAUCACUGAGAUGGAAUCUUCUAGCAAGUGUUUCCUGAGAGUCAGCACACAGAACCCGUGUUCAGAGCUGGCCAAGGUUGUACCAUAUGCUGGCAUCUGAACUUGGUCAUUUGUAAGAGUUGUCCAGGUGGUUCUGGUUAAUUUUUGAAGGCAUGAGGUGUCAUGGAGAACGGCUGAGGCUUGGCACUGUGUGGAAGGGCUGGAGCCUCUGAAGGGAACUCAGGAGAGAGGCUAUUGGUGAGACCGCAGCAUUUUGGAGAUGCCAAUGCGGUGGGACAAGCACCAAGAACAGUAGCAGUGGUGGAGUGGAGCCAGCAGGAGCCCAGAAGACAAGCUGUGUGCACUGCAGCAGGUGGGGCUGGAGAAUGGACCCAGGCCCUUUGGAGGAGUCGGAAAAUGUCUAGGAUCCCAGCCCACUGAAUCUUGUCACUCAGAUUUAGUUGGGUGUCUUUCCUCCUUGGUUUAACCUUUCUUGAUGCACCCCCAGAGAUGUAUCUCCAGUGUGAUUUGAAGACCCACCAUGUUGACAUCAAAAUCAAACAUUGCAAUUAUUUAGAGAUGGGAGAUAUGGGAUCCUGAUUUGGAAGAAGAAUGAACAUGUAAUGUUCCUUGACAUUGCCAAGUUCCUCCCAAGGGAGUGCAACUCUUUCCAUUCCCCCCAGUGAGGCAGAAGAAUGCCAUUUCCCCACAGUCUUACCAAGAAAAUUUAUUGUCGAACUUCUGGAUUUUUGCCAGUUGGAUUAUGAGAAAUGAAGUGCCCAGAGAAUUCUACAUUUUCUUCUAAUGAGGGGGAGCCACUCUUUUAUUUCUGCAACUGAGAUGAGCCCCUUCCACUAAUUUUUUGGCUUUUACUUUGAUAUAACUAGUUAUAUCUGGGUUUUUGCUUUGCAGUGUCAGCUAUGGUCUCUUUGGCCAGCAGGGGUCAUGAGGGGUAUCUUGGGGACCCUUCUUAUGGCUUUAAUUUUGACUUUGUUCACUGGGUCUUAGAAGGUGAAGAUCAGCUCCAAGGAUCAUGAGGGUUUGGUCCUCACUUUCCAUCCUGUUUAAGACAGUCUCUUGGGGCUCAUCUCUGUGAUACCAGACUAGCUCACCUAUGAGUUUCUGCAGCUUCUCCCGUGUCUUCCCCCUAUAUGCCCCCAAAAGUGCUGGGAUUACAUAUGUGUGCAUGUGUCUUUCUUUUGCACGGGUUCUAGGGCUCCAGACUGGGGUUGUCAGGUUGUAUGGCAAAUGCUUUAACCACCCAGCUAUGCUACCCCUCCCCUGUCCUCCUUUUCUAGGAUUUUGAGAGACAAAAGAUGAUUGAUUUGAGACUCCUGUUCUUCAGCGUAGGAUUCCAUUUCAAUCAUCUCUCAGGAUUUCUUUAGUUGUAUCCCACAAAAUCUGAUAUGUUUUAUUUCCUUUUUCUUUAAGUUCAAUGGGCUUUAAUUGUUUUUUGAACUGUUCUCUUUGGUUCAUGAAUGAUUUAGAAAUAUAUGAUUUAGUGUCCGAUGGAUGAAAGAUUUUCAUUAUUUAAAGUUUUAUUACAAUGUGGUCAGAGGGUACAUUCCAUGUGAUUAAAAUAUUUAAAUGUGUUAAUACUUAUUUUUAUGGCUCAGAGGCGUCUGCCUUGGUACAUGUCCCACAGGCACUAGAAAAGAAUGUGUACCACUUCUGGUGGGUACAUAUUUUUCUGAAUACUUGUUCUAUACACUGCUGAGAAUUAGAUGUUGGAAUCCCCAACCAUAUAAUCUUGUAUUUAAGCUUGGCAUGGUGUCACAUGCCUGAGAGGAUGGUACCAGAGGCAGGAUGUCACAAGCCUAGGAGGAUGAGGCCAGAGGCAGGGUGAUAGCAACUUUGCAGCCUGGGAUAUACACACAGC
ensembl:lncRNA